GAUGAACGCUGGCGGCGUGCUUAACACAUGCCAGUCGAACGGGAAACCUUUUAUUUAAGCUUCGGCAGAUUUAGCUGGUUUCUAGUGGCGGACGGGUUAGUAACGCCUGGGUAACCUGCCUUCUACAGGGGGAUAACAACCAGACAUGGUUGCUAAUACCGCAUAAGCGCACAGGACCGCAUGGUCCGGUGGGAAAAACUCCGGUGGUAUAAUAUGGACCCGCGUUGGAUUAGCUAGUUGGCAGGGUAACGGCCUACCAAGGGGACGAUCCAUAGCCGGGCUGAGAGGGUGAACGGCCACGUUGGGACUGAGACACGGCCCAGACUCCUACGGGAGGCAGCAGUGGGUAAUAUUGCACAAUGGGGGAAAACCUGAUGCAGCGACGCCGGGGGAAGGAGGAAGUAUCUCGGGAUGUAAAUUUCUAUGAGCAGGGAAGAUAGUGACGGUACCUGACGAAGAAGCACCGGCUAACUACGUG
rnacentral:rRNA from 1 species